UACGUAGGUGGCAAGCGUUGUCCGGAAUUAUUGGGCGUAAAGCGCGCGCAGGCGGUCCCUUAAGUCUGAUGUGAAAGCCCACGGCUCAACCGUGGAGGGUCAUUGGAAACUGGGGGACUUGAGUGCAGAAGAGGAAAGUGGAAUUCCAUGUGUAGCGGUGAAAUUCGUAGAGAUGUGGAGGAACACCAGUGGCGAAGGCGACUUUCUGGUCUGUAACUGACGCUGAGGCGCGAAAGCGUGGGGAGCAAACAGG
rnacentral:rRNA from 1 species